GUCGUAUUUCUGGGCGAAAUACGAUUUGAGGACGUUUGAGGCUUCAAACGAAGGCUUGAAGCUGACUGGUCUGUUCAGCUGCGAGUUUGACGAAAACUUUAGAAAUUUCAAGAGUUCAUAUAGGGAUGCGUUGGUAGAAAUCAUCAAAGGGAGUUAUCAAUUUCAAGAAUUAGUUUUGCAGUUUCAGAGUCGAAGUGGCCAUGGAAGUGGAGAAUGACUAGGGAUAAGGAUUUCUUUUACAUUGGACAUUUUAGUUGAACUUAUUAAGUUUUAUUUUAUUUUCAUGUUACUACUUUAGUUUUGGCAAGUUGACUUUGAAAUUAGUUUAAAUUUUCUUUAUAAAUCAAUAAAUUUUAUUUUCACUA